rnacentral:rRNA from 1 species
AAUCAACGCUGGCGGCGUGCCUCAGACAUGCAAGUCGAACGCGAAAGGGCCCCUUCGGGGGCCCGGUAGAGUGGCGCACGGGUGAGUAACACGUAGGUAAUUUGCCUUCGGUGGGGAAGUAACAGCCGGAAACGGACUGCUAAUACCGCAUAAUGCGAGCGGCUCGACAUCGAGACAGUUGUUAAAGCGGGGGAUCGCAAGACCUCGCGCCUGAAGAGAAGCCUGCGGCAGAUAGUCUUGUUGGUGAGGUAAUGCUCACCAAGGCGACGAUCUGUAACCGGCCUGAGAGGGCGGUCGGUCACACUGACACUGACAUACGGGUCAGACUCCUACGGGAGGCAGCAGUCGGGAAUUUUGGGCAAUGGGCG